CUAUAAAGUUUUACUUUAUACGAAUUCUGGAGAAGCUGAGUGAGGCCAUGUCUGUUACCAGGAGACAUGAGACUCACAGCAGAUCUCUCUGGCUUAACAUGGGAGAUGGUGAUGAUCUUUACAGGAUACAUAACGACAAUGGCAUUUCACAUCAACAUAAAUACAAGGGGUCAAGGAGGAAGGUCACAAGUUUGGUUGGAUCAGUGAAUAUGUCUGCAUUGGUUCAAGCGAUUGUUAUAUGAGGCCUGAGUCCAAGGUUGCAUUUUAAUAUAAGGUGUCAGAAUAUGGAGAGCCACUGAAUAAUUUUGAACUGAAAUGUACAUGGCCACAUUUUAACGAUGGAAAGGCUAUUCUCCAAACCAGCUAAGUUGUUUUGAAGAUGACAGAACAAUUUCUAAGUCCAUAACUCAGAUGACACGAUUUGAAAAACAGAGCUGGCCAACUAAGUACAUGAACCCUACUAAGUCAGGAUCACAAGAAGAAUAUGACGUAAGGCAACUGAGAGGGUCAGAAAAGUAACUAGAGGAUCCUGAGCUGAU